rnacentral:rRNA from 1 species
UGCCAGAGAGCUUGCUCUUGGGUGACGAGUGGCGGACGGGUGAGUAAUGUCUGGGGAUCUGCCCGAUAGAGGGGGAUAACCACUGGAAACGGUGGCUAAUACCGCAUAACGUCGCAAGACCAAAGAGGGGGACCUUCGGGCCUCUCACUAUCGGAUGAACCCAGAUGGGAUUAGCUAGUAGGCGGGGUAAUGGCCCACCUAGGCGACGAUCCCUAGCUGGUCUGAGAGGAUGACCAGCCACACUGGAACUGAGACACGGUCCAGACUCCUACGGGAGGCAGCAGUGGGGAAUAUUGCACAAUGGGCGCAAGCCUGAUGCAGCCAUGCCGCGUGUAUGAAGAAGGCCUUCGGGUUGUAAAGUACUUUCAGCGGGGAGGAAGGCGNUGNGGUUAAUAACCUUACCGAUUGACGUUACCCGCAGAAGAAGCACCGGCUAACUCCGUGCCAGCAGCCGCGGUAAUACGGAGGGUGCAAGCGUUAAUCGGAAUUACUGGGCGUAAAGCGCACGCAGGCGGUCUGUUAAGUCAGAUGUGAAAUCCCCGGGCUUAACCUGGGAACUGCAUUUGAAACUGGCAGGCUUGAGUCUUGUAGAGGGGGGUAGAAUUCCAGGUGUAGCGGUGAAAUGCGUAGAGAUCUGGAGGAAUACCGGUGGCGAAGGCGGCCCCCUGGACAAAGACUGACGCUCAGGUGCGAAAGCGUGGGGAGCAAACAGGAUUANAUACCCUGGUAGUCCACGCCGUAAACGAUGUCGACUUG